rnacentral:lncRNA from 1 species
CUCAAUUUCUACGGACUAAUUAAGACUAUAUUUAUUUGUCUAAAACAUGUCUAAGCACUAGUACAAAGCAAUAUAAUUGAUCUAUUUAAAACAAAAUGAAUAAAGUAGCCUAUCCAAGCAUGCAUGUUGUGAAUCUGCAAGCUAGCAUAACUUUCCAUACCAGCGCAUUCCAAGUGGACAUACUAUAUUCCACCAUCAUAAGCAUAUCAUGCCAACACCAGAGUCUUGGUUGAAACUGCUAACAGGAUAUAUUGUAUGUAGCCAACUGAUGCUGGAUUUUUCUUUUUUUUUUGUGGGUUGGAGGGGGGGUGCAGGACUCAGGCACAUGGACAAGGGAUCUUGUAUCAGAUUUUUAAUUCCAUACUUCACACAUAAGAAGACCAAUUUCACUAGAAUGCAAAAAGAAAACCUUAAUUUUUGUGUGAAUCCAAAACUCCAUAUUUUCUUGCAUAGGGACAUCUGACAGCAUCAAUAAUAAAAAUUUGUAACAACACAAAGAAUGGUUUGCUUAUCAGCUGAUGAGGUGAGGACCAGUAGGAUCAAUUCCCUUCAUAAUUUUGGGGU